rnacentral:lncRNA from 1 species
GGGGACCGUCCCCACCUGGGUGACCUCAUUUUGGGACCUUCUCCAAUUUGGGGACCCCCCCAUUUUAGGGACCCCCCCCAUUUUGGGGACCCCACCCCAAUUUUGGGGACCCCCACCCCAAUUUGGGAUCUCCAUUUUGGGGACCAUCCCCACCUUGGUGACCUCCAUUUUGGGACAUUCUCCAAUUUUGGGGACCCCCCCAAUUUUGGGGACCCCACCCCAAUUUUGGGGACCCCACCCCAAUUUGGGACCCCCAUUUUGGGGACCGUCCCCACCUUGGUGACCCCAUUUUGGGACCUUCUCCAAUUUUGGGAACCACCCCAUUUUGGGGACCCCACCCCAAUUUUGGGGAUCCCCACCCCAAUUUUGGGGAUCCCCACCCCAAUUUGGGACCCCCAUUUUGGGGACCAUCCCCACCUUGGUGACCUCGUUUUGGGACUUUCUCCAAUUUUGGGGACCCCACCCGAAUUUGAGGAUCCCCACCCCAAUUUUGGGGAUCCCCUCCAUGGGACCCCCAUUUUGGGGACCCCACCCCAAUUUUGGGGACCCCACCCCAAUUUGGGACCCCUAUUUUGGGGACCAUCCCCACCUUGGUGACCUCAUUUUAGGGACCUUCUCCAAUUCUGGGGACCCCGAUUUUGGGGACCCCCAUUUAGGGGACCCCUCCCAUUUUGGGGACCCCCCCAAUUUUGGGGAUUCCCCCAAUUUUGGGGACCCUCCCACCUUGGUGACCUCCUCCAUUUUGGGGACCUUCUCCACUUUGGGGACCCCCUCCCAUUUUGGGGACCCCCCAUUUUGGUGACCUCACCCAUGGGACCCCCAUUUUGGAGACCUCCAUUUUGGGGACCCCCACCCCAAUUUGGGGAUUCUGACCUGAAUUUGGGGAUUCCCCCCAUUUUGGUGACCCCAUGUUGGUGACCCCAUUUUGGGGACCUUCACCAUUUUGGGGACCCCCUCCCAUUUUGGGGACCCCCUCCAUGGGACCACCCACGGGACCCCCCAACGUUGGGGACCUUCCCCACCUUGGUGCCCCCUACAUUUUGGGGACCUUCUCCAUUUUGGGGAUCCAUGGGACCACCCAUGGGAGCCCCACUUUGGGGACCAUCCCCACCUUUGGUGACCCCCCCCCAUUUUGGGGACCUUCUCCGAUUUGGGGACCCUCCCCACCUUGGUGACCCCAUUUUGGGGACCUCCCACCCAUGGGACCCCCCAACUUUGGGGACCCCACCCAAUUUUGGGGACCUUCUCCAUUUUGGGGACCCCUCCAUGGGACCCCCCCCCCCCCACUGUGGGGAUCUUCUCUGAUUUGGGGACCCCCCUGGCCUUGGGG